rnacentral:rRNA from 1 species
AUUGAACGCUGGCGGCGGGCCUAACACAUGCAAGUAGAGCGGAGCGGCGGACGGGUGAGUAAUUCCUAGGAAUAUGCCUGGUAGUGGGGGAUAACGUCCGGGAACGGCCGCUACUACCGCAUGCUAUCGGUUCAGCCUCGGUGGUAUUAGCUCGUGGGUGGGGUAAAGGCCUACCAAGGAGACGAUCCGUAACUGGUCUGAGCGGAGGAUAAGUCACACUGGAACGGAGACACGGUCCAGACCCCUACGGGAGGCAGCAGUGGGGAAGUUUGGACAAUGGGCGAAAGCCUGAUCCAGACAGGCCGCGGGUGUGAAGAAGGUCUUCGGAUUGUAAAGCACGUUAAGUGGGGAGGCGUUACCAACAGAAAAAGCACCGGCUAACUUCGUGCCAGCAGCCGCGGUAAUAC